rnacentral:rRNA from 1 species
UAGGGAAUCUUCCACAAUGGGCGCAAGCCUGAUGGAGCAACACCGCGUGAGUGAAGAAGGGUUUCGGCUCGUAAAGCUCUGUUGUUAAAGAAGAACACGUAUGAGAGUAACUGUUCAUACGUUGACGGUAUUUAACCAGAAAGUCACGGCUAACUACGUGCCAGAGC